UGUUUCAACCGCUUGUUAGGG
ensembl:piRNA 21ur-1120 ncRNA